rnacentral:ribozyme from 1 species
UGCCAAGCAAUUCCUUUCCCUCCCUCCACGUGGUACCGGCCGGAAGCUACGACCAACCUUGGGUAAGAUCAGGUAGCCAACCCUGGUAAGAUCUUUGGUCGUAGGCUGGCAGGGAAGG